rnacentral:lncRNA from 1 species
GCUGAACCUAUUCAAACCACCACAAGGGUCUCACAGACCCUGGUAGUUCUAAUGUGCCCAGGAUGGGUACGAAGAGGCCUUGAAGCUGUCAUUACAGGAGGUCCUUGUGUGCACACAUAGCUCCAGUUCAGAAGACCUGAGGAAGCUCGGAGGCGUUCUUCCUGCAGUAGAUGGCAUGCAGUGGCCCAGGAGGAAGCUUGGGAGAAGUGUGAACAGCACAGUAGUAAGAAGUCUGGCUGCAAUGAACUCAGUGGUUAAGAGCCUGAGUGUGUGUCAGGACCCAGUGUUCCUGAUUUCCUAGAGCACCAACAAGCAUACACAAAAUUAAAAAUAAAUC